rnacentral:RNase_P_RNA from 1 species
CUUCGGAGUCGCUCGUUCGCUCCACCGUUCUUUAUUGGUUUAGUUCAGUUUAUGGCAGUGGAGAGGAAAGUCCGGACGUCAUAGGGUAGGAUUCCUCGUGAAAGCGGGGGAGGUUUGCUUUAAGGCAAAUCGACGGAUAGCGCCGCAGAGAAUAUACCGCCCGUAAUUGAUCUCGGAUCCCGUUUUUCGGGUUUUGGUUUAGUUAGGGGUAAGGGUGAAAAGGUGGAGUAAGAGCCCACCGCCGUUCCGAGUAAUCGGGCGGGCAUGGCAAGCCCAAUCCGACGCAAGACAAAAUAGGGGACAGGGCGACCCGUCUUUUAUGUCCCGGGUAUGUCGCGCCUUUUUCGGAAGGGUUUCGCAAUCGGUUUUCCGGUCGCGGGACAGAUAAAUGAACGUGGGUCCGUUUCGGCGGAUCACAAAAUCCGGCUUAUAGGCUCCGGAGCUAG